UGGGGAAUUUUGGACAAUGGGGGAAACCCUGAUCCAGCCAUCCCGCGUGUGCGAUGAAGGCCUUCGGGUUGUAAAGCACUUUUUGCAGGAAAGAAACGUCAUGGGUUAAUACCCCGUGAAACUGACGGUACCUGCAGAAUAAGCACCGGCUAACUACGUGCCAGCAGCCGCGGUAAUACGUAGGGUGCAAGCGUUAAUCGGAAUUACUGGGCGUAAAGCGUGCGCAGGCGGUUCGGAAAGAAAGAUGUGAAAUCCCAGAGCUCAACUGUGGAACUGCAUUUUUAACUACCGGGCUAGAGUGUGUCGGAGGGAGGUGGAAUUCCGCGUGUAGCAGAGACAUGCGUAGAUAUGCGGAGGAACACCGAUGGCGAAGGCAGCCUCCUGGGAUAACACUGACGCUCAUGCACGAAAGCGUGGGGAGCAAACAGG
rnacentral:rRNA from 1 species